rnacentral:rRNA from 1 species
UACGUAGGGGGCAAGCGUUGUCCGGAUUUAUUGGGCGUAAAGAGCGUGUAGGCGGCCAUGUAGGUCCGUUGUGAAAACUCGAGGCUCAACCUCGAGACGCCGAUGGAAACCAUGUGGCUAGAGUCCGGAAGAGGAGAGUGGAAUUCCUGGUGUAGCGGUGAAAUGUGUAGAGAUCGGGAGGAACACCGGUGGCGAAGGCGGGUCUCUGGGCAAUUCCUGACGCUGAGGCGCGAAAGCGUGGGGAGCAAACGGG